rnacentral:sRNA from 1 species
AGGGAGAGAAUAUUUACAUGAGUUAGGGGCUCUACAUGUUCAUUGAGAAUUUUAUCAAAAUCGUUCAAAUCCUUCCAGAUGUUUUCUUCACAUUUUCUGCUAUUCAGAAGGAUAUGUCAACAAUUUCCAACCACGAUAUGGGCUUCUUUCUUUAUUCUCUUAUUUCCAGCAUUUUUCUUCUUUACAUAUUUUGAGAUAGUGUCCUUAGAUUGACAUACUGUACAUCAUACUUUCUUUACAAGUAUUUCCCUUUCUAUCUGAUAAAAUUUUCACCUUUGUUUCUAGCAACACUUCCAGACUUAACAAUUGCAUCGUCUUAUAGUGAAGAUUCAUCAGCUUUUCGUGGUCAAUGUUGACAUGGUUCUGGGAGUUGAACACAGGUCAUCAAACUUGGUGACCAGCUCUUUCACCUGUCUUUGCCAGAUUGCUGCCUCACAAAAUUUGUUAUAAGAAGAGGAAAGGCUAAGAGAGGAAAGGUGCAUCUUCAGAACCAUGUCAGGAAGAAGCUUAAAGGAGGAAAAUGUUCUUUUGGCUCAUGGUUUAAGAGGAAUACAGCCCACCAUGGUGGGGAAACCAUGGCGGCUGAAGUGUGAAGUGGCUCCUCACUCAGUUGCCUCGUCAGUCAGGAAGUGGAAAGAGGAGGUAUGACCAGUCUAUAAAGACUCAGGGCAUGUCUGAAGCAAGCCAUUUCAUCCAACAAGACUGCACUUCCAUAACCGUGUCACCAUCUGGAAGGUGGAUUCUCCCUGACUAUGGACCAGCCAAGGUGGAAAGAGAGAGUCACAGAAGCAGCUCUCAUACGUUGUAGGCUUCCCCAAGCCUGUCCUGAUAUGUUUUUGUUAACAGGUGAUUCAAUUUGCAUCUUUUACUGACUCUAUAAACAGUGAAGAUGUGGUAACAAGGCAAAACAGUCUUCUUACUGUCUAUGAUUUCAUCUGCUGAUUUAUUAAUUGUUUACUUCAUUCAAUCAUGGCAAGUGACUUUCUGGAACAUUGUAGUCACUUGCCAUAUCCUUCUCAUGAUUGCCACUUUCAAGGACUUCUUGUUAAGUAGUAGACACAAAACAAAGAGUGGGCAAAGAAAUUAAAUACAGCUACUUGCUGUGGAUAAUGAUAGGGAAACUCUCUUGUACUGAUGUCUAGAGGAGGGAGCUUCCUAGCCACAAAGACAGGACCCAGCAAAUGUUUCAUUCACACAACACACAUUCACUGAAUGCCUACUUAAUGGCAGGCAGUUUUCAAACACCUGGGCAUAUAGCAAUAACGAGGGCAACGUGCUCCCUGUUGUCAAGCCUUUUAUCUUUUCCUGAAUGGAAGCAGAAUAAACUCAUAGUGAAAAUAGCAGAUAAGAACACGUGCCUUGCAAAGAACUAAAACAGGGAGAGAUUCAGCUGAAUGACUGAAUAACUGCUUUCUACGGGGCAGGAUCCCUGAGCAGGUGACGUUCGAGAUAAGACCAGUGGGUUGAGGAAGCAGACCAGGAGAGCAUUUUGGGUAGAGAAAAGCUGGGAGAUGUCCCACUUGCAGCAGAGCACUCCACAGACAUUUAUCCCCUGCAAUUUGCCCAGUUGAGAGUCCCUCUGUUAACUACUGUCCUGUGCAUGCAGACACUUCUCUGAUGAUGUUGGAUGGAGAUAGGAAUUUUUAGGAUAGCUUGAUAUUAUAACAAUUUAGCCAAAUAAUAUUGGGUUCAUUUUGAGCUCAGUUCUAGUCAUACAUUUUUCUUCUGUGCAACAGGGCUUAAAUCCAAGUGGAAAGUGAAUGGUUAGCUCCAUGAUGCUAUUACUUCAGCCGUGGGGAUCUCUUGCCACAUUGGUCAUUAUUGUAGUUCACCGAGUUCACAUCUGAGUAAGACUGCUGAUGAUUCUGUCUUGCCAGCAUUCUGCAUAGGACCUUUUGGUAGUCCAAGAGGUAGUAAGUAAGGAUAACUAUAUUACAAUCUGUCUCUGCCCAAGUCAAGACUCAGGGACCAUCACAAAGGCAGGGACAGAAAGGUUGUAAGAACCAGAGAACAGGGAGGGUCAGGGAGAAAUGUCUUCAGGUCAUGACAGGAUCGCUGCACUCAUGACCCCUCAGCAGCUGUGGUUGCCUGCACAAGACCUGCACAGGAUCACUGCAGUCAAUAUUUCAGCAUGGAAAGGGGAGGGGCUCACAAGUUCCCACUCCUAGCUGAGGACUCUUGAGAUGGCUUCUGGGGUAGAGCAGUGAAUAGUUCAAUGUCUGUGGGUUUAUAGACAGAAUAAAUAUAGAAUUCCAUCCUGAUGCAUGAGGGGUUGGGGAGGGUGAGCU